GCCCUUGGUUGAUCCUGCCGGACCCCACUGCUAUCGGGAUAGGACUAAGACAUGCUAGUCGUGUGCCUCAGCCAAAACGAGGCACGGCGCACAGCUCAGUAACACGUGGCUAACCUGCCCUUAGGACGAGAAUAACCCCGGGAAACUGGGGCUAAUGCUCGAUAGGUGAAGAACUCUGGAAUGAGUCUUCACUUAAAAGAGUCUGCGUUAUGCUCGUAGAUUUCGCUUAAGGAUGGGGCCGCGACCGAUCAGGUUGUUGGUGAGGUAAUGGCUCACCAAGCCUUUUACCGGUGCGGGCCGUGAGAGCGGGAGCCCGGAGAUGGGCACUGAGACAAGGGCCCAGGCCCUACGGGGCGCAGCAGUCGCGAAAACUUUGCAAUACACGAAAGUGUGACAGGGCUAUCCCGAGUGCCAUCCACUGAGGAAGGCUUUUACCCAGUCUAGAACGCUGGGGGAAUAAGGAGAGGGCAAGUCUGGUGUCAGCCGCCGCGGUAAUACCAGCCCUCCGAGUGGUGUGGAUGUUUAUUGGGCCUAAAGCAUCCGUAGCUGGCUAAGUUAGUCCCCUGUUAAAUCCAACGAAUUAAUCGUUGGAUCGCGGGGGGAUACUGCUUGGCUAGGGGACGAGAGAGGCAGACGGUAUUUCCGGGGUAGGGGUGAAAUCCUAUAAUCCCGGGAAACCACCAGUGGCGAAGGCUGUC
rnacentral:rRNA from 1 species